GUAGUACUCCCUCCGUCCGGAAAUACUUGUCAUCAAAGUGAAUAAAAGGGGAUGUAUCUAAAUGUAUAUUAGUUCUAGAUACAUCUUUUUAUCCAUUUUGAUGAAAAGUAUUUUCGGACGGAGGGAGUAGUUG
rnacentral:pre_miRNA from 1 species